AAGUCGUAACAUAGUAGAUGUACUGGAAAGUGUAUCUAGGAUUAACAU
rnacentral:rRNA from 1 species